rnacentral:misc_RNA from 1 species
UGGCUCCCGCAUCGAUGAAGAACGCAGCGAAAUGCGAUAAGUAAUGUGAAUUGCAGAACUCAGUGAAUCAUCGAAUCUUUGAACGCACCUUGCACUCCUUGGUAUUCCAUGGAGUAUGCCUGUCUGAGUGUCAUGAAACUCUCAACCCUCUUGCUUUUGUUUAUCCUAGGCAUCAGGGCUUGGAUCAUGAGUGCCUGCUGGACCUGCGCAUCAGCUCACUCUAAAUGUAUCAGUGGUCUGCUAUCUCUGCCCCUGCGGAUGCAUCUGGUGUGAUAGGUUUUAUUCACCGGAUGUCUGUUGGAACCAGGCAGAGUGUUGCUAGCCAUCUACAAACAACUUUUUAAGUGUUUGGCCUCAGAUCAGGCAGGACUACCCGCUGA